GGAAGCGCCUUAUAACAAUAGCAAUUAUUAUUUUUAUUUAUUUGGAAUUUUCUAAAAUAUUUGCAAGCUGAACAUAAAGACUACAAACAAUCUAAGCUAGCACAAUAUGGGUGAACAGUGGAAUUAAUAGUCCAUUUACCUAAGUGACUGUUUGAUAUAGCCAAACACCAAAUGGUGCAGUUCUCAGGUUAACAGUGUUACAAUUUCCAUAUAGCCAGCAGUUAGCAACCACACAUUAGUUUAAACAUCAAUGUUUCUGAAAUGUUACUCAGUGUGUAUCUGUCUAAUGAUCCAUAAAGGUUUGGAAGUUAAAAUGUUCAAAUGCCUGACAUGUGCACGUGUGUGUUUGUAUGUUUUCGUUUAUGGUUACAAACAUUUAUUGUUAUUUUUUAAUGGAAAUAGCCAUUUUCUGCAUUUACAACAAUCUUAUAUUAAAAUGGGAUUUUCAUAAGCGUUCAUUCCCUCACAGCAAAUUGUGGUCAAUUGGAAACUGGAUUUCACAAAUGUAGACAACAAGAGCCUCACUUAUUGGGAGAAUGUGCAAUAAAAAUAUCUAUUUUGGGGUUUGUUUGUUUUUUG